GAUGAACGCUAGCGACAGGCUUAACACAUGCAAGUCGAGGGGCAGCGAGGGCGUAGCAAUACGCCUGUCGGCGACCGGCGCACUGGUGAGUAACACGUAUGCGACCUGCCCCCUACAGGGGUAUAACCCGUAGAAAUGCGGACUAAUCCCCCAUAGUCCUGGGUGCUGCAUGGCAUUCAGGGGAAAGGCCAGCCGGUAGGGGAUGGGCAUGCGGCGCAUUAGCUAGUUGGCGGGGCAACGGCCCACCAAGGCGACGAUGCGUAGGGGUUCUGAGAGGAAGGUCCCCCACACUGGUACUGAGACACGGACCAGACUCCUACGGGAGGCAGCAGUGAGGAAUAUUGGUCAAUGGGCGCAGGCCUGAACCAGCCAAGUCGCGUGAGGGAUGACGGUCCUACGGAUUGUAAACCUCUUUUGUCGGGGAGUAACGUGCGGGACGCGUCCCGUAUUGAGAGUACCCGAAGAAAAAGCAUCGGCUAACUCCGUG
rnacentral:rRNA from 1 species